GUAGUUAGCCGUGGCUUGUUUUCAGGGUACCGUCUUCUACUCUUCCCCUGUCAAAGAAGUUUACAACCCGAAAGCCUUCUUCCCUCACGCGGCGUUGCUGGGUCAGGCUUGCGCCCAUUGCCCAAUAUUCCCCACUGCUGCCUCCCGCAGGAGUCUGGACCGUAUCUCAGUUCCAGUGUGGCCGAUCAGCCUCUCAGCUCGGCUACCCAUCGUCGACUUGGUGGGCCGUUACCCCGCCAACUAUCUAAUGGGACGCGAACCCCUCUUAUACCGGAUUGCUCCUUUGACCUCAUCCCGAUGUCGGGUCGUGGUCUUAUGCGGUAUUAGCAACCGUUUCCGGUUGUUAUCCCCCUGUAUAAGGCAGGUUGUUCACGCGUUACUCACCCGUUCGCCACUAAGUUAUCAACCGAAAUCAAUAACUCCGUUCGACUUGCAUGUGUUAGGCACGCCGCCAGCGUUCGUCCUGAGCCAGAAUCAAACUCUGA
rnacentral:rRNA from 1 species